rnacentral:rRNA from 1 species
GCCAUGCGCGUGCUAUACAUGCAGUCGAGCGAACAGACGAGGAGCUUGCUCCUUUGACGUUAGCGGCGGACGGGUGAGUAACACGUGGGUAACCUACCUAUAAGACUGGGAUAACUUCGGGAAACCGGAGCUAAUACCGGAUAAUAUUUCGAACCGCAUGGUUCGAUAGUGAAAGAUGGCUCUGCUAUCACUUAUAGAUGGACCUGCGCCGUAUUAGCUAGUUGGUAAGGUAACGGCUUACCAAGGCAACGAUACGUAGCCGACCUGAGAGGGUGAUCGGCCACACUGGAACUGAGACACGGUCCAGACUCCUACGGGAGGCAGCAGUAGGGAAUCUUCCGCAAUGGGCGAAAGCCUGACGGAGCAACGCCGCGUGAGUGAUGAAGGUCUUCGGAUCGUAAAACUCUGUUAUUAGGGAAGAACAAACGUGUAAGUAACUGUGCACGUCUUGACGGUACCUAAUCAGAAAGCCACGGCUAACUACGUGCCAGCAGCCGCGGUAAUACGUAGGUGGCAAGCGUUAUCCGGAAUUAUUGGGCGUAAAGCGCGCGUAGGCGGUUUUUUAAGUCUGAUGUGAAAGCCCACGGCUCAACCGUGGAGGGUCAUUGGAAACUGGAAAACUUGAGUGCAGAAGAGGAAAGUGGAAUUCCAUGUGUAGCGGUGAAAUGCGCAGAGAUAUGGAGGAACACCAGUGGCGAAGGCGACUUUCUGGUCUGUAACUGACGCUGAUGUGCGAAAGCGUGGGGAUCAAACAGGAUUAGAUACCCUGGUAGUCCACGCCGUAAACGAUGAGUGCUAAGUGUUA